GUUCUCGCGAGAAGGAGCUCCCAAACAUGGCUGCCGCCAGUGUCUGUGUUUCUGGAAGGAGCUGCAGGCGACUCCCCCACCACCUCUCCAGGAGCCUCUCCAAGACCCGCAGGCAGUCUGAUGACCACAAAUGGUCUUUAGGAUGUGGACAGUCACUGGAGGCCUGAAAAGGAUGGACAAGGACCUUCAAGGGCUGUACAGCACAGG
rnacentral:lncRNA from 1 species